UAAUAAGAUUGACCUUGUCUUUAUUUUAUUGUUAAGUAUUUUAAUACAUGAAAUAUUAAUAAUUACGGUGAAUAUCUUUCAUUAAAAUUAAAUAUUAAAAAUAUUUAAUUUUAAUGAAAUUAAGGAUUAGAUAAUUUAAUCUUAAAUAUUUUUUCACAUCUUCAGUAUUUAAAAUUAAUUUUUAAUUAAGGUUAGAAUUAGAAUAUCUUUUAUUAAGAUGAUGAAUUUUGUGCCAGCAUUCGCGGUUAUACAAAAUAUCUAAAAAUAAAAUCAUUGGUAAAAUAUAGUUUAUAUUAAAAAGUAAAAAUUAAUAAAUUAUUGAGGAUAAAUUCAUAUAAUUUAUUUAUAAUUUUUUUUACUAAAAAGAACCUAUAAAGAUAACGAUAAAAACUAGGAUUAGAUACCCUACUAUUCUUUAUUGUUAAUAUUUUAACCAGAGGAUUACGAGAAUAAUUUCUUAAAACUCUAAAGGUUUGGCGGUGUUUUAUCUUUCUAGAGGAACCUGUCCUGUAAUCGAUAAUCCACGAUAACCUUACUUUCAUUUGUUUUUUAGUUCAUCUACCUCCGUCGAGGGUACGUUUAAAGAUAAAAGUAGUAUCUGGUAAAAACAUAUUUUUAUAUGGCAGGUAAAAGUGUGACUUAUAUGAAAGUAGAGAUGGGUUACAAUUUAAAUUUAAAAUAUGAAUUUUCCCUUUAAAAAGGGAAAUGAAGGUGUAUUUAGAAGUAAUUUUAUAAAAUUAAAGUAAAAUGAAACAAAGCUCUAUAACGUGCACAAACCGCCCGUCGCCUUCGUUGAUUAAAAUGAAGUAAGUCGUAACAAGGUGAGAGUAGCGGAAGCUGCUCUCUUAAUUAUAAUAUGAACUUAUAUUAUAUUAAUGU
rnacentral:ncRNA from 1 species